GGGGAUCGAAAGAAAAGAUUGAAAGAACAGAUUCGAAAAUUUUUGGAAUAAAAAAGGUCUUUUUUAAUUUUUUUCGGUUCAUCAUUCUUAGUGAUUCAUUUUUUUUCCUUUUUUAAUUUUAUUUUUGCUUAAGAUAUAAAGAAAAGAGGAGGAAACUUACCUUUUUUCGUCAGAGUUGCCGGAUCGUUGCAGUCUCCGUCGCAAUCGGA
rnacentral:lncRNA from 1 species